UAAACAACGCUAGUCACUACAAGAUACGAA
rnacentral:sRNA from 1 species